AACAAGCCCGAGCCUGUCUGAUCUCAGAAGCUAAGCAGAGUCGGGCCUGGUUAGUCCUUGGAUGGGAGACCACCUAGGAAGACCAGGUGCUGUAGGCA
rnacentral:rRNA from 1 species